GCACGAUUCUUGACCGAGAUCUCCAGCCGCCCAUCCCGCGGAUCUUCCUGGCUCACUUCCCCGGAGCCAGGCGGACGCAGGAUAGGCGCGGAUGGGGAUCUGGAUCAAGAAGCGGCGGACA
rfam:Arthrobacter sp. Leaf69 contig_5, whole genome shotgun sequence.